rnacentral:rRNA from 1 species
GACGAACGCUGGCGGCGUGCUUAACACAUGCAAGUCGAACGGUAAGGCCCUUCGGGGUACACGAGUGGCGAACGGGUGAGUAACACGUGGGUGAUCUGCCCUGCACUUCGGGAUAAGCCUGGGAAACUGGGUCUAAUACCGGAUAGGACUCCUGGCUUCAUGGUUGGGGGUGGAAAGCUUUUGUGGUGUUGGAUGGGCCCACGGCCUAUAGGCUUGUUGGUGGGGUAAUGGCCUACCAAGGCGACGACGGGUGGCCGGCCUGAGAGGGUGACCGGUCACACUGGGACUGAGAUACGGCCCAGACUCCUACGGGAGGCAGCAGUGGGGAAUAUUGCACAAUGGGCGCAAGCCUGAUGCAGCGACGCCGCGUGAGGGAUGACGGCCUUCGGGUUGUAAACCUCUUUCAGCUAUGACGAAGCGCAAGUGACGGUAGUAGCAGAAGAAGGACCGGCCAACUACGUGCCAGCCGCCGCAGUAA